rnacentral:rRNA from 1 species
GAGUACGUGAAACUGCUUAGAGGUUAAGCCCGAUGAACCUGAAUAUCCGUUAUGGAAAAUUCAUCAUUAAUACUAUGAUAUUUAUAAUAUUAUAAAAAUAGUGUGCAAUUUUUCCAUAUAAGGACAUUGUAAUCUGUUAAUGUAAUAAAUAUUUAUUAAAAGAUCUAAUAUUUUAGUUUAUUCAAAUUAGUUAUUUUCGGAUUUCUAACAUAGAAUAAAUAUAUUGGAUUUGAUAAAUCAUUGACAGAUUUAAUUAUAUAAUGCGCUUAAAUUUUUCGGAAUUUUGCAAUGAUGAAUAAAUCUUUUGAUUUAAUCGUUUAAAUUGUAUGCGCUUUUAUGAUUAACAAUGCGAUAGAUUCAGGAUACCUUCGGGACCCGUCUUGAAACACGGACCAAGGAGUCUAACAUAUGUGCAAGUCAUUGGGUAUUUUUAAUAAAACCCAAUGGCAAAAUUAACUUAACUGUUAUAAUGGGAUUAGUUUAUGUUUUAUUAUGAAAUAUUUAUUCAAUCCCGGGGCGUUCUAUACAGUUAUGUAUAAUAAUAUUUAUAUUAUUUAUGCCUCUAACUAGAGCGUACCUUGAGCAUAUAUGCUGUGACCC